rnacentral:rRNA from 1 species
AUUGAACGCUGGCGGCAUGCUUUACACAUGCAAGUCGAACGGUAACAGGGAGCUUGCUCCGCUGACGAGUGGCGAACGGGUGAGUAAUGCGUCGGAACGUGCCGAGUAGUGGGGGAUAACGCAGCGAACGUUGUGCUAAUACCGCAUACGUACUGAGGUAGAAAGUGGGGGACCUUCGUGCCUCACGCUAUUCGAGCGGCCGCCGUCUGAUUAGCUGGUAGGGGGGGUAAAGGCUCACCUAGGCGACGAUCAGUAGCGGGUCUGAGAGGAUGAGCCGCCACACUGGGACUGAGACACGGCCCAGACUCCUACGGGAGGCAGCAGUGGGGAAUUUUGGACAAUGGGCGAAAGCCUGAUCCAGCCAUGCCGCGUGUCUGAAGAAGGCCUUCGGGUUGUAAAGGACUUUUGUCGGGGAGGAAAUCCCCAGCGCUAAUACCGCUGGGGGAUGACAGUACCUGAAGAAUAAGCACCGGCUAACUACGUGCCAGCCGCCGCCGUAAUAC